rnacentral:rRNA from 1 species
AAAACAUGUCUUUUUGAUAAAAAUUUAAAGUCCGGUCUGCUCACUGAAUUAUUUUAAAGAGCCGCAGUAUAUUGACUGUGCAAAGGUAGCAUAAUCAAUAGUUUUUUAAUUGAAAACUAGAAUGAAAGAUUAGACGAAAAAUUAAUUUUCUUUAUUUUAAUAAAUUUAAUUUUAAAUUUAAGUGAAAAUGCUUAAAUAUAAUUAAAAGACGAGAAGACCCUAUAGAUUUUUAUUAUUGAAAUAAAUUUUUAAAUUUAAUUUAAUAAAAUAAUUUAAUUGGGGCGAUUUUAUAAUAUAAAUAACUUAAUUUUUUAAAACCAUAAAUAAUUGAAUAUUUGAUCUAAAAUUUUUAAAGGAAAGAUUAAAUUACCUUAGGGAUAACAGCGUAAUUUUAUUUAAGAGUUCAUAUCUAUAAUAAAGUUUGCGACCUCGAUGUUGAAUUAAGAUAAUAUAUUGGAGUAGAAAUUAAUAUAAUUAGUCUGUUCGACUAUUAAAUUCUUACGUGAUCUG